rnacentral:rRNA from 1 species
CAGCAGCCACGGUAACACGUAGGUGGCAAGCGUUGUCCGGAAUUAUUGGGCGUAAAGGGCUCGCAGGCGGUUUCUUAAGUCUGAUGUGAAAGCCCCCGGCUCAACCGGGGAGGGUCAUUGGAAACUGGGAAACUUGAGUGCAGAAGAGGAGAGUGAAAUUCCACGUGUAGCGGUGAAAUGCGUAGAGAUGUGGAGGAACACCAGUGGCGAAGGCGACUCUCUGGUCUGUAACUGACGCUGAGGAGCGAAAGCGUGGGGAGCGAACGGGAUUAGAUACCCCCGUAGUCCCUGUCUCUUAUAC